rnacentral:lncRNA from 1 species
AACAAGUUGCAGCCCACAAUGGUUGAACAAGCCAAUUAUAGCCUCAAUGGGAAGCUUCCUUAUUCACACGGGAAUUUCCACAAAAAAACCUCACUAUUUUUUAUAAAUAGAGGUGCUUGCCUUCAUUGUAAAUCAUCACAAAAAUUAGAGUGUUCAUCACCAAGAAGAGUGAGAACAAAAGUGAUCUUAGAGAGCUAUCCUCGUUUGUGAGUUUUUUAGAGUUUUUUUAUGAGUUUUGUAAAUACUCGUGUAAUCUAUUCUUGUGAGUAAUAGAG